CCUACGGGAGGCAGCAGUGGGGAAUAUUGCACAAUGGGGGAAACCCUGAUGCAGCGACGCCGCGUGAGUGAAGAAGUAUUUCGGUACGUAAAGCUCUAUCAGCAGGGAAGAAAACAAGUCCUUUGGACUUUUGACGGUACCUGACCAAGAAGCCCCGGCUAACUACGUGCCAGCAGCCGCGGUAAUACGUAGGGGGCAAGCGUUAUCCGGAUUUACUGGGUGUAAAGGGAGCGUAGACGGCAGCGCAAGUCUGGAGUGAAAUGCCGGGGCCCAACCCCGGAACUGCUUUGGAAACUGUGCAGCUGGAGUGCAGGAGAGGUAAGCGGAAUUCCUAGUGUAGCGGUGAAAUGCGUAGAUAUUAGGAGGAACACCAGUGGCGAAGGUGGCUUACUGGACUGUAACUGACGUUGAGGCUCGAAAGCGUGGGGAGCAAACAGGAUUAGAUACCCUUGUAGUC
rnacentral:rRNA from 1 species